GGCGUGCUAUACAUGCAGUCGAGCGGACCGACGGGAGCUUGCUCCCUUAGGUCAGCGGCGGACGGGUGAGUAACACGUGGGUAACCUGCCUGUAAGACUGGGAUAACUCCGGGAAACCGGGGCUAAUACCGGAUGCUUGAUUGAACCGCAUGGUUCAAUCAUAAAAGGUGGCUUUUAGCUACCACUUACAGAUGGACCCGCGGCGCAUUAGCUAGUUGGUGAGGUAACGGCUCACCAAGGCGACGAUGCGUAGCCGACCUGAGAGGGUGAUCGGCCACACUGGGACUGAAACACGGCCCAGACUCCUACGGGAGGCAGCAGUAGGGAAUCUUCCGCAAUGGACGAAAGUCUGACGGAGCAACGCCGCGUGAGUGAUGAAGGUUUUCGGAUCGUAAAACUCUGUUGUUAGGGAAGAACAAGUACCGUUCGAAUAGGGCGGUACCUUGACGGUACCUAACCAGAAAGCCACGGCUAACUACGUGCCAGCAGCCGCGGUAAUACGUAGGUGGCAAGCGUUGUCCGGAAUUAUUGGGCGUAAAGCGCGCGCAGGCGGUUUCUUAAGUCUGAUGUGAAAGCCCCCGGCUCAACCGGGGAGGGUCAUUGGAAACUGGGGAACUUGAGUGCAGAAGAGGAGAGUGGAAUUCCACGUGUAGCGGUGAAAUGCGUAGAGAUGUGGAGGAACACCAGUGGCGAAGGCGACUCUCUGGUCUGUAACUGACGCUGAGGCGCGAAAGCGUGGGGAGCGAACAGGAUUAGAUACCCUGGUAGUCCACGCCGUAAACGAUGAGUGCUAAGUGUUAGAGGGUUUCCGCCCUUUAGUGCUGCAGCAAACGCAUUAAGCACUCCGCCUGGGGAGUACGGUCGCAAGACUGAAACUCAA
rnacentral:rRNA from 1 species